UAAACCUGAUGAGGUACUUGGUCUUUAAUCUGGUUGAAUGAUCUGGAGUGUCUCCUUUUGAGAGCAAUGUGAACAAAUUCCUUGUACAGAACCAUGAUCACGAAUAUCCGGGAGCCCUUGAAUUAGAAGAAGCCUCUCUCCCUAUCUCUGGAUAGAAGUUCCUCUAUUCCUGAUUCUCCCAACUGUGUGCUCUACCUAGAUUCCUGUGAUCGUG
rnacentral:lncRNA from 1 species